GUACAUGACUAAGGUAAUUAGCAACUAAAUUGUUUGAAAAUUUACUUGGCUAACAUUAUGUAUUGUUACUUCUGAAAUGGAGCUUCAACUGAUAGUAAGCUAGAGAUCUUCAGGUACCAGUCUUUAUUCAAUGAAUUGAAGCACCAUAUAUUUUUUUUAGUACAUCUAUUUUUUUCCUGUUUAAUCAAAAUGGUUGACUUAACUGUGCAAAUGAAAAAAUUUACUAUUUCAAUAUUACUUAACAAAAGCAUUGAACCUGACCAAUUCAUACUACCUGUCCUCUUUUGUUUUUCUAUAAACUUAAUUGAGGGUUUUUGUUUUCUGUUUCCAAUUUACAAGUCACGAUGAAUUCGAUAAGUUUUACUUCCAAAAGAAGUACAUUGAAGAUGGAGCAUGAAAAAGGUGAUUUUGAUGUCAACGAUUAUGGUGAGGAGGAUGAGGAGAAACAAGGAGAAGAGGGAAAAAAAUCGAGAUGAGGGAACAGUUGAGGAAGACCAAAGUGGAUGGAAUAAUGAUGAGAUGGAAUAACUUGAGAAAGUGUAUAAGGAUCUUCAUCACCAGUGGCGUGAUAGGUGGUAGUAGUAUGCAGUGAGAGUGGUUCCCAUUUUUCGGCAACCAGUUGGGUUGAGAUUGUAGCUGAAGAUUUGAAGUUUAUCAUGAAAGUCAGACUAGAUUGGAAAGGAGAUUUCGGAGGUCCAGAGAAGCAGGGGUGAGCCAGAGAUGGAGGAAACAUGAUGGGGAAGAACAAGGAUCUUCAAGAACGUGCCAUCGCAUCAACAAACAGAGAUUGAAGACGUGGCUUUCGGAAUAGUGGAACGGCAAUAAAAUCACGCCACACGCCUGAAAGCAGGAAAAGAUUCCUUUUUUUUUCCUUCUUUCUCCAAAUGCAUACUGUUAGUUAUUUAUUUUAAAGUGGGGCCAACACUAUGGGCUUCAGGUUUGAACAUUAGUGUUCUUUUCUUUUGUUGAUUGCUUUAAGUAUUCAUUUUUUUUGUUGUUGUUGUUUAUUUUGUUGUUUAGGGUUUCAGACAUAUACAAACGAGUUGCAGCUAAAAGUGCUGUCGUAAAUGGUUCUAUAAUUUGCAGGGAACACCUCUGAAUCUCAUUUCGUCAAUCACCCGGUGAGUUAUUAACUUAUUAUCACGGCAUGGCAAUUUUUUUUAUCUAUCUAUUAAUAUAUAAUGGUUAACUAGCCAAACACUAAAACCACACUAUUUAUUUAGCACUGUUAGAUGGUUUCUGAGAAGUGACAGGUGUCUCCCAAACUUUUUCUUUCUUUUGUGUUUCGCUCCUCAGCAAAAAGCCAAAAUCUUCUUACCUGGUGGAAGGUUAUCAGAGAAGAUCUUUGUCCAAUGGGUUGAAGAGAGUUAAUCUGGCAGCAAUUCUAAAAACCACCAUUUAGGGGAAGAAAACGAAAAUAUUAGCUUUUGAUUGGAUGAUUAGGGUAAACAAUGGAUUGAGAACUCAUUGUCCCUCAGGUAAUGAAGCAGAACUCUCUUCUGCAGCAAUUUGGGCGCGAUCUUUUCCUUUCAAAUCAGGAUUUGAACACCAAAUUUUGAGCGCAAUUUUUUCAUUUGAAAUUAGAGUUUAAAAUGACAUCCUCAAGCGCCUCUACCACACCGAAGAUGCCCUUCAAGAUAUGAUGGAGAUGAAGGUAGAAGUCGUGGCGAUGCUAAAGUCGCUGCACCGCUGGCAGCAUUCCUUCAUAACCCGUUGGCUGUGCAGGAGUUGAGGGCUAACAAGAAUGAAUUGCGAGUAGAAAAGUUGAAGGACAAAGAGGAAGUAGAGGACUUAACUCAGAAAAUGGCUGAGCUGUUGUAUCGAACUCUCAUCCCUAGACCUCAAGCUUCAUCUCUCCAACUCAAUUGGCAGGAAUGGAUCUUUGGUUGAUGGAUGGAAGUGGUCGAGGCUUAAUGGAGGGCAUGCAGGACUAACAUAAGCAAUGAAGACAUGAAAUAUUUAAACAAAACAAGCUGGUGACAACGAGAUUACUGCCUGUAUUUACAUGUGAUCUUAUAACUCGCUUCUAUGCCUCAACAUUUUUGUGUUGAAGAUUGAUUUUUCAUGUUUGGUGGAUAGAAUAAGAGAAAAGAAUGGGAUUGCUUUGGUUUCAUC